CUGGACUGGAACAGUAAUUUGUGAAGGGUUUUAAAUGAAAGAGCAAGUGUUCAGACUCCUAGAGAACUCUGAAGACUAAACUGAAUUGAAAUUUGCAGCAAUAUAUGCUAGGGAACUCAUAAUACAUUGCUGAUUACAGGAGUGCAGAGAUGAAAAGUUUAAUAUCAACUCUGGCUCUCCUUCACUGCUAGGGCUAAAUGUGAAUAUUAUCCAAGGAUGUUUCUAAAUGAAUCUCCAGUAGUUCUCUCUUUCCAAGUCAGAUCUCAGAAUCUCUUCACUUGAGUCAAGCUACUCCCAGCUUUGGCACACAUCUGGUCCAACACUACUUUGGGAUAUGUUUUGUUAAGGUUGCUGCUCUGCCUGGAAGGCUCUCAUUCCUCUGCUGCUUGACCCGAGCUUUCCUUCCUCUAAGAACUGCUAGAGGCUCCUAGAUGCCUUUCCAAACCAACUUCUCUUCUAUGAGAUCAGCUCUCAGCUUUGUAUUCCUUGGCGUCUAUGGAGCUAAAGACCGGGUUCUUUGUCCCAUUGGCCACAAAAAUUCAGGCUCACAGACAAUUUGAAUGCUUGCAUCCCAGACUCCACACAGAAGAAAAGGAGCCGGGAUCCUCCCCAGUCUACCAUGGUGCACAUGCUCAUCUCCUCUGGGAGUUUUUCGGGGGGAACCCCCUCCCUCAUGACUGUCUCAGUAAAAGAGUUACUACAAGAGAAAGUUGCAGAGGAGAAAGUAACACCAAGCUUAAUAUUAAGAAAUGA
rnacentral:lncRNA from 1 species